rnacentral:rRNA from 1 species
UAAUACGGGGGGGGCAAGCGUUGUUCGGAAUUACUGGGCGUAAAGGGCGCGUAGGCGGCCUGCUAAGUCACACGUGAAAUCCCUCGGCUCAACCGGGGAACUGCGUGUGAUACUGGCGGGCUCGAAUUCGGGAGAGGGAUGUGGAAUUCCAGGUGUAGCGGUGAAAUGCGUAGAUAUCUGGAGGAACACCGGUGGCGAAGGCGGCAUCCUGGACCGAGAUUGACGCUGAGGCGCGAAAGCUAGGGUAGCAAACGGG